UACAGAGGGGGCAAGCGUUGUUCGGAAUUACUGGGCGUAAAGGGCGCGUAGGCGGCCCGCUAAGUCGAACGUGAAAUCCCCGGGCUCAACCCGGGAACUGCGUCCGAUACUGGCGGGCUUGAAUCCGGGAGAGGGAUGCGGAAUUCCCGGUGUAGUGGUGAAAUGCGUAGAGAUCGAGAGGAACACCAGUGGCGAAGGCGGCUCGCUGGGCCGGUCCUGACGCUGAGACGCGAAGGCGUGGGGAGCGAACGGG
rnacentral:rRNA from 1 species